rnacentral:rRNA from 1 species
AUGAACGCUGGCGACGUGGAUAAGGCAUGCAAGUCGAGCGGGUUUAGACCCGCGGCGAACGAGGUAGUAACACGUAGGAACGUACCCCUUAGUCAGGCAUAACCCAUCGAAAGGUGGAGCAAUUCCUGAUGGUCUCUACACCGCAAGGUGUGGAGUAAAGAUUUAUCGCUAGGGGAGCGGCCUGCGGAGUAUCAGCUAGUUGGUAAGGUAAUGGCUUACCAAGGCUAUGACGCUUGGGGGAGGUGAGAGCCUGACCCCCACCGAUGGAACUGAGACACGGUCCAUACACCUACGGGUGGCAGUAGCCGAGAAUAUUCGACAAUGGGCGAAAGCCUGAUCGAGCGACGUCGCGUGGUGGAUGAAGUCCUUCGGGACGUAAACACCUUUUGCCUGCAAGAAAUUUCGAUGAUCAGCAGGAGAAUAAGGGGUUGCUAACUCUGU